UUGCCCCGCACAAACAUGGCGCCGCCCAAGCAACAUACUUACUAAACGCCAUUCACCAAACAAACGUGAAUUUCUGCAUCAAAAGUGGCAUCUCGAAACUCGAGGACUGAGCACCAGCUGAUGAUGUGGAUGAUCUGGGCGGAGUUUCAAAUGACACUGAGGAAGGCAGGGGAGCAGCUGCAAUGGAUGCUGAAGCCGGAUCUUGAGGUGGACUGCUGUCUUCACUCAGAAAGUUGGUGUUGUACCAGUUCUCUGGAGUUUCAUCCCCAAAUAUAUUAAAGGAAAUAGGUGGAAUGUCAUUCAUAUUUGGCAGUGGUUUUGUAACUAACAACAAAUACAAUGGCAGUUUGUCAUGGAAUUUAUAAUGUAGUGGUGCGUAGUGAGUUAUUCAGUGUGAAGUGGCUCAUUAGUAUGUAAGCCAUGGUAUACGCUAUAGAUGCACGGUCAUGUGUUGCUUUUUAACCAAUCAGAGGUUGUUAUUUUUCCCAAGCCGUGUUAAAAAUCCCUGUAAACAACACUUGUUGAAAUAUCUGCUUAACCCUUAGCGGUCCAUUUAUUCAGCACGUCGCAGUCGCGUCAGGUCCAAUUUAUUUUCACACGCGCAGUUUAUUUUAGACGUGCUGUUUAAAAGCAUUAUUUUCAUAGUAAAACAGGUUUAAAAGGCACUGCAUAUCAACAGGGCACUCAGUACUGCAUCUCCAGCCCAGCCCCACCCCUCGUUCACUGUUUUUUUCAUAUACCUCUUGAUAGUAGUGCAUACCGAUAAAUCAUCUCCUGAUCACUCGUUUUAUCACCAAACUCCUCAAUAAUGCGAUCCAAGUCACUAUUUUAUUACUAUAACAUCUAAAAAAAGCUCUGCAAAUGUAUGUGAUAUACUUUGAGCACUGGAUGCAGAAGCAGCUAUCUUGUUUGUUUGUCCGUGUUAUCUAUGUGAUGCCGGGGCUAUCUGUAUUCAUGAGAUACGCCCCCCCCCCCUUUUUUUUCGGCUUCUCUCGGCUCCUAUCGAUCUCACGCUGCCAUUGAAUGGUUUUCUCGGCUUUUCCCGGAGAAAAAACGACUAACCUGUUUUUUGCGUCUUUUUGAUGAUGUCGGACAGGGUCCGACAUUGGACCGGAAAGGGAAAAUUUCAAUGUCGGACCAGGUCCGACAUAGGACCGCAAAGGGUUAAUAUAGGUGCCCUUUUUCCCCCUAAGGAAGAGUUCACACUGGCACAAAAAACACCUCUUGAAAAUUGAAAAUUCACACUGGUUAAAAUAUUUUAUUUUUUGGUUUAAAAUAUUUUAUUUUUUCACAAUAGCACCACAAAAUGGCAAACUUACUUUAUAAUAAUUAGUAACCCUGUAUAUCAUGGAUAUGAGCAAGAUAGAGCUGUAAAUAUAUUCCAUAACAGGGUCUUUCUUCACAAAACUUGUAAGAUUGUUUUAAGCAAUAUUGUGUACUGUUUUUUAAAGCCCAUUUUGAUUUAUUAAAUCAAGUUUUGCAGUUGCUUUUUCAAAUGUUUAAAGAGGGUUGAUUAGUUUAUUCAGCACGGAGAAUCCGCUAUGAAUGAAUGGCAAUGAAUGAAUGAUGAUAAUUGCAAUUACAGAUGAUUUAUGAACCGUGAAGGGCACUCAGGGCCCGAGUGAAAAUAGAUUUGGCCGGAGGUGGCUACCUGUGCGAGGCCGGCUGGAAAUACAUGAACAGUUACAUGCAUCCCAGAGCCGCAGAUAAGAAGUGGCUAUGAGCUACCUCCCCCUGGGACGAGGCACGCUGCGAGGUGGUGGCUGGGGAGGAUGGAGGCCAAAACAAAACGAAGCGACAUGAGAGAAUAACACACAGAGCUUUUAUGAGCUUGCUGAUGACGUAUUGGUUAGUGGCGGAUUCUCCUUUGCAGAAAAGCAACCAAGUUUACAAUUCUAUUUUAAUGCACUGUUUAAGAUACUUUUUUUUUUUAAGUAUUUAAAACAUACUUUGAGUUGUGUAAAAAUAACCAUAUAUUUAAUAAGAUCAUAUAUCAAACACAAAACCUAGCAUCAAUUUUCAGUGAUUCCCCAAAACUGAAUUGAUGACCAACUUUUUUCGCAUAUAUAUUUCUUUAUGAAUCUUGCCUUGAGCUACGGAGACAUGAUUGUUUACAAAGAGUUGUGCCUCAUUUGUUCCCAUAGAUUGUGCCUAAUUAACGUUAACUUGUCUGUACAUAGAGAAGUGCUGUCCUCUCUGCUUUAAUCUAAUCUGUAUUCGUUCAAAAAAUAAUUGGAUCAUUUACACCUCAUUAACAUGUAAUGUAAUGUCUAAGCAUUCAUCAUAAUGAUUGCUUAUUAUUUCUUUGCAAUAUUAUCUCCUCUAAUGAAACUGUUCACACAACUGCCAAGAAUGCUGUAAUUGGUUCUGUCAUAUCGCAGAGCUGGGGAACAUGGUUUUCCACAUGUGAAGCAUUAAUUGGUAUGGAGACUGUGAGGUAAAUAUUAACCCACUAUUUAAUAUAUUAUUCAUUUGCAAACAUAUUACCAGGAUAAACCCAUUAAGAUUAAAUGUAUUCCAAAGGUAUAACACAGAAUCACAUACAGCAUUCUCCAGAACAAACAAUUAGAAAAAUACAUGCACUGAACAUACAGUGUUUAUAACUUCAGGGUGCUCUUCCCUAACAAUAUCCAAAAUGAAUAUCUAAAUUGAACACAACUGAUAUACUCUGACGUUUGGAUCAUCUACUUCAUGCUACGAUAAUAGGUUCCUUUAACUUGCAAUGCCAAUUAGAUUUUUGCUUGCCCUCAGCUUGUCUUAUCCUGGUCUAAUCUUAAAAUGCCAUUUUGUUACUCUUCACCUGUCGAUGCAAAAUAAUGUACCGGUAUUUGCAUUUUGGAAACUGGCUUUCUUUCUGAGCCCACUUCUGCGCAGCAAAGAUCCUGCUCACAAAUGUGACCGUAUGUAUUCAAAGAAAUAUCACUGAAAAGUAUGCUUUCUGGGGAGAAAUGUUACCAGUAAUGUCAGCAUGUUGAAAGGGGUGGCUACACCUUUAACUGAACAGAGGGCCUUGAUUUCAUUUUUAGCACAGGAAAAUAAAGCUCUGGUCUCAUUAGAUAAGCGGUUAUGGUUAAAGAUCACAGCGCUGUGCUCUCAUCUUAUAUAUUGCAUUGAUUGGCCACAGUAGGCACUGUCUUGUGCACAAUUGAUUUCAUGCAGAGUUUUGUGUGAUUGAUGCGCUUCGAUUAUGACAAGAAAGCAUUUCUAUAAUCCCUCUGCCAAUGGAGUUAUGUUUUACAGACAUUCGACUCUUAUAGCUGAUUGAUAACACUUAACUCAAAACAUAUUUAAGCAUUAGGAAUGUCAAUAUUUUGCCGCCAAGUGAAGGUGACCCUUGCUCUCCUGUUUGCUAAGUGCAUACGGUGGUUUGCUGGUAAAUUUGUGAGGGUGGUUAUGUGGGCUGGCUAUUAUGGAUUUGCUAUCUUAGCCUGAAGUGUUUGCUGCUGAUUAUGUGAUUAAAUCAAUAAUAAUUUCUGCUUGGCUUUUGUGCUCCUCGAUUCAUCUUCUUUUAAUAUGCAGCUGAGCAGAACAGCCAGCCUAAAGCACUUGAACCAAAGUGUACCGUUAUAAACAUUUUUACACUAUUAUAGGCCAGCUGGACUGAAACCACUUUAAAUAGUGAAAUGCAAUAUACAAGAUAUGUUAACUAUAUUACUGCAAGAAGUGGAAUUAAGGUUUGUGAGUAAUAACAGUAGACUUAAUUCUUAAAUGGUAGUUCUUAAUGAUAACUAUGCAGCAUCUAUGGUUUACCUAGACUGCAAGUUACUUUAAUGACUGUGCCCUUUAUCAAUUGUCUUGUUCCAUUUCUAUUGGUCACUGUAUUGUACUGUAAUCUGCAGAUAUAAUGUGUACAGGAGUUUCAUGGCUAAAAUGUAAAGCCUGUCAAACGUUGAGGUCUGCUUAAAUCCUGCUGCAAUAAGUCAUUAAAAAAAUGUCACUUUCACAAAUACAAUAAAUAUAAAUACAGAUCCCAUUGAAAUAUUUGCAAUAUGGGUCUCCAAUGCCAUGUUUCCAACUGCAACUUUAAAUCAAUCC